rnacentral:rRNA from 1 species
UGGGGAAUCUUCCGCAAUGGACGAAAGUCUGACGGAGCAACGCCGCGUGAGUGAAGAAGGUUUUCGGAUCGUAAAACUCUGUCUUUUGGGGCGAACGUGAGUAUGGUGAACAAUCAUAGUCAGUGACGGUACCAAAGGAGGAAGCCACGGCUAACUACGUGCCAGCAGCCGCGGUAAUCGUAGGUGGCAAGCGUUGUCCGGAAUUAUUGGGCGUAAAGAGCGCGUAGGCGGGAUAGUCAGUCUGUUGUAAAGUGCGGGGCUCAACCCCGUGAUGGCAAUGGAAACAGCUAUUCUUGAGUGCAGGAGAGGAAAGUGGAAUUCCCAGUGUAGCGGUGAAAUGCGUAGAUAUUGGGAGGAACACCAGUGGCGAAGGCGACUUUCUGGACUGUGUCUGACGCUGAGGCGCGAAAGCCAGGGGAGCGAACGGGAUUAGAUACCCCCGGUAGUCCUGGCCGUAAACGAUGGGUACUAGGUGUGGGAGGUAUCGACCCCCUUCCGUGCCGGAGUUAACGCAAUAAGUACCCCCGCCUGGGGAGUACGGUCGCAAGACUGAAACUUAAAUGAAUUGAC